rnacentral:rRNA from 1 species
GUGCCAGCAGCCGCGGUAAUACCGGCAGCUCGAGUGAUGUCCAAUAUUAUUGGGCCUAAAGCGUCCGUAGCUGGCUGAACAAGUCCGUCGGGAAAUCCACGUGCUUAACACGUGGGCGACCGGCGGAAACUGCACAGCUUGGGACCGGAAGGCUCGAAGGGUACGUUCGGGGUAGGAGUGAAAUCCCAUAAUCCCGCACGGACCACCGAUGGCGAAAGCACUUCGAGAAAACGGAUCCGACAGUGAGGGACGAAAGCCAGGGUCUCCAACCGGAUUAGAUACCCCGGUAGUCC